ACAGACGCUGAUCUAUUUUAGUGGAAAAUCUUUCUGUUUUCGACGAGGUGUCAGGAUGGCCGAGUGGUCUAAGGCGCCAGACUCAAGCGAAGCUUCCCCACCUUGGGGAUUCUGGUCUCCGUAUGGAGGCGUGGGUUCGAAUCCCACUUCUGACACAUUCCUUUUCUUUCCCAUCCUCUAAUUUCUAUAACAAAAUAUAUUGAGAAGAGCAAUAUGCGUAUGUAAUUUACCAACACAGUGUUAAAAACGGACUUUAAAAAAUUUCUCACAAGGACUGCUAACGAAAAAUAGUAAAAGCUGAAACAUCGCGAUAUUUUUGGAAGUCACGAGAUUUGGGGCGAAGGAUUAAAUACCGACGGGAGAGUACAAGAUGUUGGUUUUUCCGAGACAGCACGAGGAAAUGUUAAAAUAGCGAGAUUUGGGACUCAGAUAAUUCCCUUCCCCUUGGUUUUGGAGAAGAAAGUGGGCGUGGUCCGGUGCCCCGCCUGUUUCUCUUGGCUGCUCUUCCGCUUCUUCCCAGACAGAGAGGCCCGGCCGUGAAUACUUCCUGCAGCACUCCCUGCCAAGCCCACUCACCUGUGGCUCACGUUAGUGCUCGUGUGUGUGCUCAGUGGUUCAGUCCUGUCCAGCUCUUUGGGACCCCAUGGACUGCAGCCCUCCAGGCUCCUUGUAUCCAUAGUGUUUUCCAGGCAAGAAUACUGGAGCGGGUUGUUAUUCUAGGGGAUCUUCCCCACCCAGGGGUGGAAUCCGCGUCACUAGAGUUUCCUACAGUGGCAAGAGGAUUCUUUACCACUGCACACUGCUGUCUGCAAAGAUAUUUUAUAUAGAUGUUUAAUAUAGAUCGAUUGGAUUUUUAUUGAUUUUAAUAUAGAUCUAUGGAUAUUAUUUAUAAGAAAUUAACGAUAUAUAGAUUUAUGGAUUUUAUGGAUCUAUAAAUAUAUAUAAAUUUAUGGGUUUUAAUAUAGAUCUAUUUAUUUUAUAUUGAACAUGGUCUCUCCGUGUUCAAAAGUCAUGAAUUAGUUCUCAAACAUUUCCUUUGUAAAUUAGGCACAAUCACACCUUCGCCGGCAUCUAAUAAUUAUUGUUUUGUUUCCUAGUCAAAACUGAGUGCCGUUUUAACUCCUGAAUAAAAUAUGAAAGUUACACCUUUCUUCUCCUCCAAAUCUAACCACCAACAAUAUUUUAUUAUAUUUUGUACACUCCUAUUUUCUCUGAAUUCAUGUAUAUAUAAUAUAUAAAUAUUUUGUUUUAACAGAAAUGAAGUCAUAGGAAGUAUACCAUUCUCUGACUUUUUUUUUAAACCUAAUGUAUCUUGGGCUCCUUCCGUGUAAACACAAUCUUUUUCCUUAGAAUGAAAUGUUGCAAAUAAGUACACAGGAUAGAUAUAGCCUAUUUCAUUUAUCCACUUUUUUUCCCCCUAGACAUUUAGGGUAUUUUUAAUCACCAUUCUUCCAUCAAGUAUAUCAUGAGUGCUUUUUAUGUACCAAGGAAUGCAGUUCUGGAGCCAUGGCAGUAAAAGUAUAAAAAUAAAAUGGAAUAGGAUAGAAUUAAAAUUAAAAUUUAAUUUUUUUACACUAGUAAAAUAAACUUAUACCUUAUGUUGCUUAUAUUCCAGUCAAAUGACUGAUUCUGCUCAGGAACACCAUAUUCCAGGAUUUCCUUAUCUCUCAGGAGAAGACUAUACAUAUCCCAGAUCCCAAGACUAAUGACAGCUAUUGAAGAUUCUUAUAUGCAUGAUAUCUCCAUUUCAUGGAACAUGAGGUGAGAAGCAAACUGUAUUUCACCACUUAAAAUAUCAUGCCCUUCUUCAGUAUGAUAAAGAACAUUUAUAGAAAAAACUACAGCUAACAUCAUUCUCAAGCAAUUAGACAAGAAAAAUAAUCAAAGUCAUUCAAAUGGAAAGUAUAGAAGUAAUACUGUCUCUGUUUACAGAUGGCAAUAUCAUGACAUGAUCACAAGAAAACUACAACUGAUAGAUGAAUUCAGCAAAGUUGCAGAGUAUAAGAUCAACAUACAAAAUCAGUUGUGUUUCUAUAUCAGCAAUGAACAAACUGAAAAGAAAAUUAUGAAAGCAACUUCAAUUAUAAUAGCACAUAAGGAAUAAAAUACCCACGAAUGGAUUUAACCAAUGAAAUGAGAGACUUGUACACUGAAAUCUACAAAACAUUGCUGACAGAAAUUAAAGAAGACUCAAAUAAGUGGAAAGAGAUUCCAAGUUCCUAAAUAGGAAGACUUAAUACUGUUAAGAUGUUAAUACUAUCCAAAGUGAUCUACAGAUUCAAUUUCAUUUCUAUCAAAAUUCCAACAACUUUUUUUACAGAAAAGAAAAAGCCAUUCUUAAAAUUCAUACCAAAUUGCAAUAUGAACAUACAAAAAUCUUGAAAAAGAAGAACAAAGGCGGAGAACUCAGACUUCCUCAAUUCAAAACUUAGUAUAAAGCUAUAGUAACCAACAUGAUAUGGUAAUGGCAUAAAGACGGACAUAUAAUGCAAUUGAGAAUCCAGAAAUCAUCCCAUACAUUUAUAGCCAACUGGUUUUUUUAAUGAAUAUUUAUUUAUUUAUUGUAAAAAAAGAGUCUUAACCAUUAUAAAUGUACUGUUUGGUAGUUUUAGGGAUAUUCAUAUUGCUGUGGAACAGAUCUCUAGAACCCUUAUCUUGCAAAAUUGAAAUUCUGUACCCAUUAAACAACUGUCGUUUUUACCUCCCUCCCCUAAAAUGGUAAUCACCAUUCUACUUGUUUCUAUGAAUUUGAUUAUUUCAUAUACUCUAUGAUGGAAUAGAAUUUAAGUUUUUAAGGCUGCACAAGAAAAUUUGAACAUAACAUAGUCCCUGUCUGACAGGGCCCUCUUUAAUGUACAAUGUGCACCUGUACAAAGAUAGGAAUGUCUGCUUGACCAUGCCAGUGGUGUAAAUAUUAUCCUUCCUUAAAGGAUAAUAUUGUUUUCCUAAUUCUGACUCCUUGGAAAAGACUCUGAUGCUGGGAGGGAUUGGCGGCAGGAGGAGAAGGAGACGACAGAGGAUGGGAUGGCUGGAUGGCAUCACUGACUCAAUGGACGUGAGUCUGAGUGAACUCCGGGAGUUGGUGAUGGACAGGGAGGCCUGGCGUGCUGCGAUUCAUGGGGUCGCAAAGAGUCGGACACGACUGAGCGACUGAACAGAACUGAACUGAACUGAAUUCUGAGGGGUAAUGGUGACGUGCUGCUUCCUUUAAACACAUAUAUCUGGACUAUGUAUCUUUGGAGAAAUAAAGAGCCUCUUGAUGACAGUGAAA